GUUCAGUCCUCCCAGGCCCACCAUUCCUUUCGACACGAAGGUUAUCAGGGGCCGUAGCUCAGCUGGGAGAGCGCCUGCUUUGCAAGCAGGAUGUCGUCGGUUCGAUCCCGUCCGGCUCCACCAACCAUCUUCUGCGAAGAUGGGGCGUGUCGAGUAGAGACGGUGAGAAAAAAGUCAUUCGAAAAAGAGUUUGCGUCGAGCCUCUUGGCUCUGCGCCUGUUCUGUUUGACAUCGUAAAGAGAAGAUUUGUUCGAACUUCAUGAGCCGCAAGGUCUCAUGAUUUGUCGCAAGGGACGCUCAAUCCCUUGCCUAUGAUGGGUUUGCCUAACCGCGCCCUCGAACGGAUCUCGAGAAGCUGGUCUUUUUGUGCCAAUUCCAACCAGUAAUACCCCGCACAGGGUGUUGCUGGAGCGACGAUCCUUCGGAUCGCGCUUAGCCAAUCCUGCAAGGGCGAGGCUGAAGCGACGAUCCCCGCGGGAUCGCGCGAUGAUGGGUAUUGGCAAUGAGAACGAUCAAGUGUCUUAAGGGCAAUUGGUGGAUGCCUUGGCAUGCACAGGCGAUGAAGGACGUGAUACGCUGCGAUAAGCUACGGGGAGGUGCGAAUACCCUUUGAUCCGUAGAUCUCCGA
rnacentral:misc_RNA from 1 species